ACGUAGGGUGCGAGCGUUAAUCGGAAUUACUGGGCGUAAAGCGUGCGUAGGUGGUUCUGCAAGUCAGAUGUGAAAUCCCCGGGCUUAACCUGGGAACUGCGUUUGAAACUACAGAGCUAGAGUGUGGCAGAGGGGGGUGGAAUUCCACGUGUAGCAGUGAAAUGCGUAGAUAUGUGGAGGAACACCGAUGGCGAAGGCAACCCCCUGGGCCAACACUGACGCUGAGGCACGAAAGCGUGGGGAGCAAACAGGAUUAGAUACCCUGGUAGUCCACGCCCUAAACUAUGUCAACUAGUUGUCGGGAAAGCAAUUUCUUGGUAACGAAGCUAACGCGUGAAGUUGACCGCCUGGGGAGUACGGUCGCAAGAUUA
rnacentral:rRNA from 1 species